AGUUCGACCGGGUCGACGCCGCGGGUCACCACCAGGUAGUCCCGCAUGACGAUCGAGUGGCGGUUCUC
rfam:Gordonia terrae NBRC 100016 DNA, contig: GOTRE012.